AGGACGAACGCUGGCGGCGCGCCUAAUACAUGCAAGUCGAACGGACUCGCCUUCGGGUGAGUUAGUGGCGGACGGGUGAGUAACACGUGGGCGACCUGCCUUCGAGUGGGGAAUAACGCUGGGAAACCAGCGCUAAUACCGCAUGCGCUCGGCUUUUCAGUAGGCCGAGGAAAGCUUGAUGCGCUCGAAGAGGGGCCUGCGGCGGAUUAGCUAGUCGGUGGGGUUACGGCCUACCGGAGGACGACGAUCCGUAGCUGGUCUGAGAGGAUGAUCGACGCCACGACGUGGGACUGGAGACCGACCGGACCCAGACCUCCGUACGGGAGCGAGCGAAGUAAGGAACUC
rnacentral:rRNA from 1 species